GAGAAAUCGAGAAGUCGCCAUUUUUAGAUAUAAUUAGGAAAGAAGAGACGCCAUUCUCCGCAACCCAGUAUCCCAACUUCUCAUAAUCUCAAGUCCGAGUCCGCAUCAGAUGACGUGGAAACCACUCAAGAAGAAAGCGCUGAUAACAGCCCUCCUUCCAAGGUUGUUCGAUAAUGCAUCAACCCAGCUCACACUAAGUUAAUAGACGAAGAGUGCAAGGUGGAAGUUGUAUUCAUGUUACAAGAACCAAAUCAUUGUGGUGAAGAAUUUGGCUGGGAUGAUGAGAUAGAGGAUGACCUGGUGGAAAACCUUGUGGUGAAGACUUUGGCACAGUUUGCAUUGCCCGCAGCGGCAACAACUAGCCUUGUUGGUGUCCCGAUAUAUAUAUAUCUAGUUGGAGCUCUACAAUUUCACUUCAUGCUUUAUCUUCUAGACUAUUUCAUAAUCCGUAGGUUGUCUGAACUUUGAGUCAUGUAAUAUUGCGUUGUUGUCUUUUGAAUUUGCAUGAACCUCUGCAUUUAAUUACAUAUGCAUGGUCUCAUAUAGUAGUUCUCGCUAAAAAGACCUCAUUACUAUGUGGUAAAUUAGUAAGGGAUAAAUCAGAUGAGUAGUG